rnacentral:rRNA from 1 species
CGGACGGGUGAGUAAUGCUUGGGAAUCUGGCUUAUGGAGGGGGAUAACUACGGGAAACUGUAGCUAAUACCGCGUAAUAUCUUCGGAUUAAAGGGUGGGACUUUCGGGCCACCUGCCAUAAGAUGAGCCCAAGUGGGAUUAGGUAGUUGGUGGGGUAAAGGCCUACCAAGCCGACGAUCUCUAGCUGGUCUGAGAGGAUGACCAGCCACACUGGAACUGAGACACGGUCCAGACUCCUACGGGAGGCAGCAGUGGGGAAUAUUGCACAAUGGGGGGAACCCUGAUGCAGCCAUGCCGCGUGAAUGAAGAAGGCCUUCGGGUUGUAAAGUUCUUUCGGUGAUGAGGAAGGUGUUUGUUUUAAUAGAACAAGCAAUUGACGUUAGUCACAGAAGAAGCACCGGCUAACUCCGUGCCAGCAGCCGCGGUAAUACGGAGGGUGCGAGCGGUAAUCGGAAUGACUGGGCGUAAAGGGCACGCAGGCGGUGACUUAAGUGAGAUGUGAAAGCCCCGGGCUUAACCUGGGAAUUGCAUUUCAUACUGGGUCGCUAGAGUAUUUUAGGGAGGGGUAGAAUUCCACGUGUAGCGGUGAAAUGCGUAGAGAUGUGGAGGAAUACCGAAGGCGAAGGCAGCCCCUUGGGAAUAUACUGACGCUCAUGUGCGAAAGCGUGGGGAGCAAACAGGAUUAGAUACCCUGGUAGUCCACGCUGUAAACGCUGUCGAUUUGGGGAUUGGGCUUUAAGCUUGGUGCCCGUAGCUAACGUGAU